CGUCUUCCCCCGGCCUGCGCGGAGAGACAGGCAGAUUGCACACCUGCUCCUGCCUCGGGGCCUCUGCCAGGCCCGGCGGGCCGGCUGCAGGCUCUCAGCUCCUGGCCGCUGCUCCCAGCUCCACCCGUCCUCCGGGAAGGAGCCCCUCCCAAGGCAAGUUCAACUGGGUUCCUUGGCAGCCGAAGUGUACACGGACCCCGCAGGGAGUGGUGGAGAAAAAGAUCUGGAUCCAGAGAAUCUUCAGCGAAGCCUGAACGGCUCCUGCCAAGACACCGAUUUAACAAUCUGGACUGUUUUCUUUAAUUUGUGA
rnacentral:lncRNA from 1 species